UCCCUCGGGACAUCCUCGUCGUCUGGGGACCAUCCUGUGAGUGGCCUGAAGGGUAUGGUUUCGGCAGGUUCUGCGUCACUGAAGUAGUGUAUUAACUUAAUGGAUCGAUAGAAUCUGUGUAGGUCACCCUGCACUUGUUCCUUGUGGGUUUUGGGAGUAGGGACGAAGCUCGCGGAGACCGCUUGCCGAACUCUUCCCGACUGGGCAACGAUUUUCCAGUUUCGCUAUCUCUGUAGCUUCUUCAGGGAAAGAGAUCUAAUUCUCAUCGGUUAGGGUUUUUAAGGGGUAGGUUGAUGUUCCUCCCUUUCUGGGUGGAGCUUCCCAUGUGCUCGGUCCUAGGACCGGUCACUUUGGUUGGGCUCUACCUGUUCUUUGUUUGGACUGGUCGGUCCACUUCCAUUGUUUGUAAUGUUACCAAAUGUAUCUGGUAUCUUGUAUCAUUUGCUGCUAGUGUUUUCAGCCUCUCUUGAUCAAUAAAUGUCC